UGGGGAAUUUUGGACAAUGGGCGAAAGCCUGAUCCAGCAAUGCCGCGUGUGUGAAGAAGGCCUUCGGGUUGUAAAGCACUUUUGUCCGGAAAGAAAUCCUUGGCUCUAAUACAGUCGGGGGAUGACGGUACCGGAAGAAUAAGCACCGGCUAACUACGUGCCAGCAGCCGCGGUAAUACGUAGGGUGCAAGCGUUAAUCGGAAUUACUGGGCGUAAAGCGUGCGCAGGCGGUUUGCUAAGACCGAUGUGAAAUCCCCGGGCUCAACCUGGGAACUGCAUUGGUGACUGGCAGGCUAGAGUAUGGCAGAGGGGGGUAAAUUCCACGUGUAGCAGUGAAAUGCGUAGAGAUGUGGAGGAAUACCGAUGGCGAAGGCAGCCCCCUGGGCCAAGUACUGACGCUCAUGCACGAAAGCGUGGGGAGCAAACAGGAUUAGAUACCCUGGUAGUCCACGCCCUAAAACGAUGUCAACUAGUUGUUGGGGAUUCAUUUUCCUUAGUAACGUAGCUAACGCGUGAAGUUGACCGCCUGGGGAGUACGGUCGCAAGAUUAAAACUCAAAUGAAUUGACGGGGUCAUAGCUGUUUCCU
rnacentral:rRNA from 1 species